rnacentral:tRNA from 1 species
CACUGAACAAAAUUUCAGUUCAGAUCACAUACUCGAACCGACCUGACCGCGUAGCUCAGUUGGCAGAGCAUUGGGCUAGUAUUCCAAAGGUCGUAGGUUCGAUUCCCACCGUGGCCAGCCAGGCCAGGCAUAUUUUUCAAGCCGGCCCGGUGUGGAUGUACACUCAGAGUAACAUCACAAGCAUCUUAUUCACCUGAGUACAUUACACCAACACAGCAAAUACUUUGUUAGUCAAUGUCAGUAACAUUCAACCGGUCAUUAAUACUGAACGUCAUUAAGAUGACCUUGACCAAUGCAGAAGCCUCAAAAUUAGAGACGUGACCUCGAUUUCGGCCCACAUGACGCGCAUGGACUCGCCGCUAGUUGUUCCAAUGAGUCUGAUAUCGUCGGCACGUAACAAGUUGUUAACAAGCUCGAAGUCAUUGUAACAAGAACAACUUGUAGCAAGUCUGUUACCGUCAUCAACCUUGUAACAAGGUGAUAACAACUUGUUCCAGACUUGUCACAACAACUGGGCAGAAGCAGACGAACACAUCCUGACAUCGGUUUGGCAACAUACUUACACAGAUCGCGCCACUGCCAAGUGCCAACUCUGUAUGACGCUUUUAUUGUAUUUGUUUAUUUUAUUUUACCAGCUUUAUUGGACAUAAAAUUACAGGAAAUAGAGACCCAUGCAAGGCACAGCUCGGAAAAUAUGAAAUAAAAACAUGUUGAAAUUAUAAAAUAGGGAAGCUAAUCUAUAAUAGCUUCUUCUAUAACAGCUUGAAUUUCUAGGGAUCGAAGCUGUCAGGAAAAUCGUACAAGUUUGCGCAACGAGACAAUGGCACUUAUAAUAUCGAGGAAGCAAGCGAUCUAAUCGCAUCCCAUUUCGUACACAAAUAAAAAAAAACUCUUGAGUUUAUAAGGGACUCUUUAUAUGAGCCCGGUUUGUCGGGAAGCUGUCCUAAGUGCGAGGAUGAUGUCUGUCUGCGUUCAUUCAUAUCCUGCCGCGGUGGGACGAAAAUACGAUAGCUUAAUGCCUUCCAAAUACAGACGUAUGAGACAGGGGGCUGGGGGGGGGGGGAAACAGUUUAGAACUGAUAGAGCUAUCCAGUAUAAAUAAAGUUUGUUUAGUUUAGGUUUUCUCCUUGUAGUGACACUGGAUCAAUAAGAGAUGAUUCCUACUGGACUUCUAGGAAGAACAGUUUAGAACUGAUAGAGCUAUCCAGUAUAAAUAAAGUUUGUUUAGUUUAGGUUUCCUCCUGUAGUAACACUGGAUCAAUAAGAGAUGAUUCUUACUGGACUUCUAGGAAGAACAGUUUAGAACUGAUAGAGCUAUCCAGUAUAAAUAAAGUUAGUUUAGUUUAGGUUUCCUCCUGUAGUGACACUGGAUCAAUAAGAGAUGAUUCUUACUGGACUUCUAGGAAGAACAGUUUAGAACUGAUAGAGCUAUCCAGUAUAAAUAAAGUUACUUUAGUUUAGGUUUCCUCCUGUAGUGACGCUGGAUCAAUAAGAGAUGAUUCUUACUGGACUUCUAGGAAGAACAGUUUAGAACUGAUAGAGCUAUCCAGUAUAAAUAAAGUUAGUUUAGUUUAGGUUUCCUCCUGUAGUGACGCUGGAUCAAUAAGAGAUGAUUCUUACUGGACUUCUAGGAAGAACAGUUUAGAACUGAUAGAGCUAUCCAGUAUAAAUAAAGUUAGUUUAGUUUAGGUUUCCUCCUGUAGUGACGCUGGAUCAAUAAGAGAUGAUUCUUACUGGACUUCUAGGAAGAACAGUUUAGAACUGAUAGAG